rnacentral:rRNA from 1 species
GAUGAACGCUGGCGGCGUGCCUAAUACAUGCAAGUCGAGCGAACAGACGAGGAGCUUGCUCCUUUGACGUUAGCGGCGGACGGGUGAGUAACACGUGGGUAACCUACCUAUAAGACUGGGAUAACUUCGGGAAACCGGAGCUAAUACCGGAUAAUAUUUCGAACCGCAUGGUUCGAUAGUGAAAGAUGGCUCUGCUAUCACUUAUAGAUGGACCUGCGCCGUAUUAGCUAGUUGGUAAGGUAACGGCUUACCAAGGCAACGAUACGUAGCCGACCUGAGAGGGUGAUCGGCCACACUGGAACUGAGACACGGUCCAGACUCCUACGGGAGGCAGCAGUGGGGAAUCUUCCGCAAUGGGCGAAAGCCUGACGGAGCAACGCCGCGUGAGUGAUGAAGGUCUUCGGAUCGUAAAACUCUGUUAUUAGGGAAGAACAAACGUGUAAGUAACUGUGCACGUCUUGACGGUACCUAAUCAGAAAGCCACGGCUAACUACGUG